CAUAAUUUGCAUUUCUUUUCUCCUUUUUAGUCAUAAUCUUGAUGAUUAUAGCCAAGCUCUAUUUUGUAAUUUUAAAGAAAUCCCCUGAAUGUACUUCCACAAGCCAUUUUAAUUAUUCUCAUGAUAUCUGCGGUAGGUAGGUGAAAAUAGUCACUAACAGCCAUAAAUGAUAACUAAGAAGUAUGUGACCAUAGCAAUGUGUUAGGAGACACAUAUUUACGGGAUUUUUAUUUAAAUUGAUUAGCAUUGCUUCAUGCAUACACCAGUGGUUCUCAACUGUCCAUCAGACUAAGCUGGCAAGAUUGUUAAUAGUUUAGAUACUCAGGUUCAUGCCCAGAGAUGGUUCUCAUUUUCUAUCUGUCUCUAUCUCUACCUGAUGCCCAGAGAUUGUUCAUGCCCAGAGAUAGUUCACUUUCUUUAAGUGUAUCUCUAGCUCUCUCUCUCUUUAUCAUGUCCUACUUCCAGAUGAUACAAAUUUGCAGCUAAGGCUGAGAAACGCUGAUCUAGAUGAGAAUGUACCAAGCAGAAAGAUUAAGUGAAUUAUUAAUGCCCACAAAGUCAUUUCAAAUGUGUAUUUAUUUAUUCAAUUGAUUUGACUGAAAACUAGUUCUCAGCAUUCUAACAGAUUUUCCUCUAAAGAUGUAAGCCAUUGGCUGACUGACUUGACUGAAAACUAGUUCUCAGCAUUUUAACAGAUUUUCCACUAAAGAUGUAGACAGAGUUUGCAUUUUGAGACAAGGACACAGGGUAACAUUUAAUCAAUCUGAUUAACAGCAAGAAAUAAAUGGGUAUUACCCACUAGAUUGUGAUCCUCAUUAAAAAAGGACGAAUGCCUAUUUUGAAAGCUUUACAAACAUAUUUGAAUGAUUGAAUAAAUAAAUACACAUUUGAUUUUGUACAUCCCAGAUUCAGUACAUUGCGAUUAAUUAUAAGAAGAAAAAAACUCGUUAUACUUUCCAUUUCCAAAAUAUGUUCAAAAGUAAAAAUAUUAACAAAUUUCAAUUUCCGAUGAUUACUACUACUUCACAAUAAAUGCAG
rnacentral:lncRNA from 10 species